AUACUUUAAUGGCGUCGGGGAUGCUCUGAUCAAGGAGGGGGCUCCCCCGGUCUGAGUUCAGCACUACGGGCGGUUAACGGCUGCCAUUUUCGCAAAUUUCGGUUGGUUGGGGCCCGCAAUUUUUGGUAGUCAGGACUGCAUUCGCGCUGAUCCCGG